rnacentral:rRNA from 1 species
AUCAACCGAGAUUCCCUUAGUAGUGGCGAGCGAACGGGGACCAGCCCUUAAGCUGUAUUGAUGUUAGCGGAACGCUCUGGAAAGUGCGGCCAUAGUGGGUGAUAGCCCUGUACGCGAAAACAUCUUUACAGUGAAAUCGAGUAGGACGGAGCACGAGAAACUUUGUCUGAAUAUGGGGGGACCAUCCUCCAAGGCUAAAUACUACUGACUGACCGAUAGUGAACUAGUACCGUGAGGGAAAGGCGAAAAGAACCCCGGAGAGGGGAGUGAAAUAGAUCCUGAAACCGUAUGCGUACAAGCAGUGGGAGCCCACUUUGUUGGGUGACUGCGUACCUUUUGUAUAAUGGGUCAGCGACUUAUUUUCAGUGGCAAGCUUAACCGAAUAGGGGAGGCGUAGCGAAAGCGAGUCUUAAUAGGGCGUCUAGUCGCUGGGAAUAGACCCGAAACCGGGCGAUCUAUCCAUGGGCAGGUUGAAGGUUGGGUAACACUAACUGGAGGACCGAACCGACUACCGUUGAAAAGUUAGCGGAUGACCUGUGGAUCGGAGUGAAAGGCUAAUCAAGCUCGGAGAUAGCUGGUUCUCCUCGAAAGCUAUUUAGGUAGCGCCUCAUGUAUCACUGUAGGGGGUAGAGCACUGUUUCGGCUAGGGGGUCAUCCCGACUUACCAAACCGAUGCAAACUCCGAAUACCUACAAGUGCCGAGCAUGGGAGACACACGGCGGGUGCUAACGUCCGUCGUGAAAAGGGAAACAACCCAGACCGUCAGCUAAGGUCCCAAAGUUAUGGUUAAGUGGGAAACGAUGUGGGAAGGCUUAGACAGCUAGGAGGUUGGCUUAGAAGCAGCCACCCUUUAAAGAAAGCGUAAUAGCUCACUAGUCGAGUCGGCCUGCGCGGAAGAUUUAACGGGGCUCAAACCAUACACCGAAGCUACGGGUAUCACUUAGGUGAUGCGGUAGAGGAGCGUUCUGUAAGCCUGUGAAGGUGAGUUGAGAAGCUUGCUGGAGGUAUCAGAAGUGCGAAUGCUGACAUGAGUAACGAUAAUGGGUGUGAAAAACACCCACGCCGAAAGACCAAGGUUUCCUGCGCAACGUUAAUCGACGCAGGGUUAGUCGGUCCCUAAGGCGAGGCUGAAAAGCGUAGUCGAUGGAAAACAGGUUAAUAUUCCUGUACUUCUGGUUAUUGCGAUGGAGGGACGGAGAAGGCUAGGCCAGCUUGGCGUUGGUUGUCCAAGUUUAAGGUGGUAGGCUGGAAUCUUAGGUAAAUCCGGGAUUCUAAGGCCGAGAGCUGAUGACGAGUUGUCUUUUAGACAACGAAGUGGUUGAUGCCAUGCUUCCAAGAAAAGCUUCUAAGCUUCAGGUAACCAGGA